rfam:Roseburia hominis A2-183, complete genome.
GGGAUACUAGCUCAGUUGGUAGAGCACCUGACUUUUAAUCAGGUUGUCGGGGGUUCGAAUCCCCCGUGUCUCA